CCGACGGUGAGGGGUGAAGGCUGGGGGCGCAAACCGGAUUAGAUACCCGGGUAGUCCCAGCAGUAAACGAUGCCAGCUAUGUGUUGCUGGAACCAUGGGUUCCAGCAGUGCCGAAGGGAAGCCGUGAAGCUGGCCACCUGGGAAGUACGGUCGCAAGGCUGAAACUUAAAGGAAUUGGCGGGGGAGUACCACAACCGGUGGAGCCUGCGGUUUAAUUGGAUACAACGCCGGGAAUCUUACCGGAGGGGACAGCAGUAUGAAGGCCAGGCUAAAGACCUUGCCAGAUCAGCUGAGAGGAGGUGCAUAGCCGUCGCCAGCUCGUACCGUGAGGCAUCCUGUUUAGUCAGGCAACGAUCGAGACCCGCAGUCUUAUUUGCCAGCAUGCCCUUUGGGGUGUAUGGGUACAAUAAGACGACCGCCAGCGCUAAGCUGGAGGAAGGAGCGGGCUACGGUAGGUCAGCAUGCCCCGAAUCCUCCGGGAUACACGCGGGCUACAAUGGUCAGGACAAAAGGUACCGACCUCGAAAGAGUGAGGUAAUCCACAAACCUGAUCUCAGUCCGGAUCGAAGGCUGCAACUCGCCUUCGUGAAGAUGGAAUCGGUAGUAAUCGUGACUCAAAAUGUCACGGUGAAUAUGUCCCUGCUCCUUGCACACAC
rnacentral:rRNA from 1 species